GACGAACGCUGGCGGCGUGCCUAAUACAUGCAAGUAGAACGCACAGUUUAUACCUUAGCUUGCUACACCAUAGACUGUGAGUUGCGAACGGGUGAGUAACGCGUAGGUAACCUGCCUGGUAGCGGGGGAUAACUAUUGGAAACGAUAGCUAAUACCGCAUAAUAUUGAUUAUUGCAUGAUAAUUGAUUGAAAGAUGCUAUUGCAUCACUACCAGAUGGACCUGCGUUGUAUUAGCUAGUAGGUGAGGUAACGGCUCACCUAGGCGACGAUACAUAGCCGACCUGAGAGGGUGAUCGGCCACACUGGGACUGAGACACGGCCCAGACUCCUACGGGAGGCAGCAGUAGGGAAACUUCGGCAAUGGACGAAAGUCUGACCGAGCAACGCCGCGUGAGUGAAGAAGGGUUUCGGAUCGGAAAGCUCUGUUGUAAGAGAAGAACGGGUGUGAGAGUGGAAAGUUCACACUGUGACGGUAUCUUACCAGAAAGGGACGGCUAACUACGUG
rnacentral:rRNA from 1 species